AUGUUUCUUUAUAAAAUAUCUACGUAGGUAAAGGAUUUAAUGACCAAUCAACAGCAAAAUAGCAAUACUAUACAUUUACAACAAAGAAUGGUUAUCAAUCAGGAAAGUACAAGUUGAAGCGAUAAUUUUAAUAGGUUAAAAUCUUAUAAAUUCUUUUAAGAGAUCGAUUAAAUUAGAUUAUGAUUAAAUAAAUUAUAUAAAAAAAAUAUGUAAAGUAUAUAAAAAAAUUUCUAAUGUUCAAUAAUUUCAAUAUAAAUUCAAAUUCAAGAAAGCUUUUUAACAAUUAUAAAUAAUUAUCAAUUUUAUAUUUAUUUCGUUUUAUAAUCACAUAUUUUAUUUUAUACAUUUUAUUUUAUAUUACUUACUAAUAAUAUUGUUAUAAAUAAUAAACUAAUCUAUCCUAAGCUUAGUUAAAAUUAAUAAAUCUAUUAAAGUGAUAAGAAGAUAGAAGAGUUUAAGGAAAUAUUUUGAAGAUAAAUCAGUAAAUUUAAAUAUUUGAAAUAGUGACAAAUAUUAAAUGUGAUCCUUAUCCAUGAUGUUUGAGGUUAAAUUACCAUUUAAGCUUAAACUUUUGAGAAGUCUCGUUAAAAACUUUUCAUAAGUGCGUAACUGCAUGAUAAAUUAGUCAUUUUGAAAGUCGAUUUUUAACUUUGUGAAAAGACUGUCCUGUUUUUUCCAUUCAAAUCAUAAAUUGAAUUGAGCCUUCCUCAACACCAAGUUAUUCAUUCUGAAACGAGGGGAUAAGUUUUAAGUGAAUGAAUUCGAAUGAAAAAUAGCGAAUGUGUACACAGAAAGAACGUAGUUAAGAAAAGUUACAUCUUAUUAAGAAUGAUACCUGGACAGGUAUUCAUGACAGGCACACAUCGAAUAAAUAUCAUAUUACUGGACGAUCAAUUCCCUGCAAUGAACGUAACAAUUUAGAAUGAAACACCGGGCCAAGCGUGUGUUUCCUCGUCUUUCCUAAUAUUCGCUCGCUAAUUAGCGCAAUAUCACACGCUCAUUGUUCACAAGAGAGGUUCUGUUGCAAAUCCAUCACAACUAUUGAGCCUUGACCUGGAUAAAUGCUUAACGAUCGUUGCCAGAAUUUAAGAUCCCUUUGCGACUUUGUGUGUGCACGAUCUUAAUAGAUGUGGUUUGAUGAGGAAAACCGAAUGGAAAAAGAAAAUUUCGGAUUCUCGGAUGAAUAAAUUAAACACGUUUCAGUACGGAUGUGCAAACUGAUUUCUAAUUAUGGCUUGUUAAAAGUUGUUUUCUCUCUGUAAUUUGGCAACUGACUGAAGCAAGUAACACCGUGUCAAGUAACACUGGUGACGAGUAUUAACUAUUUUAUAUUGUAUCCUAAAUUAAUAUAUAUCUAUAUUAAUUUUAUCAUGUGUUUUAAUUAUAAUUAUGACAUCAAUUUUUGUAUCUAAUAAAUUUCUAAAUUUGUAGAUAUAUAUAUAAAAUGUUGAUAUAUUCGUGGACAUCUUUGAAGAAUGGAGUUUUUUCUUUUUAGAAUAGAAAAUUUAAUUAAAAGAAAUGCAAAAAAUUAAUACAUAAAAAUAUCAGUUGAGAUUUAUUUGUUAAAUUAUAAAUAAUUUAAAUUUGCAUUAAAAUAAGACAGAUUUAUCUCCAUUUCGUUUCAUCCAGUGUUGUAAUAAAACAAGAAUUUUACAAAAAAUUUGCAGAAUCAUGGAAGUUAAAUUGAAAUUUAUGCAACACUAGUUGCAUAGUAUUAGAAGGAUGGAACUGAAUAUAUCGAUCUAAUAAUUUCUGCGUGGGCAGAUUGUACGUGUUGAAUAUUAAACGAGAAAUUAUAAUUUUGCCAAAUGCCUUACAAUUUCGAUUCUGUUCAUUUUGGGUUCUUCGAUCUUGAAAAUCGAAGAAAUGAAUGCAUUGUUAUUAAUUGCAAUAGAAUUUUGAAUUAUUUUAACAAUUUCUUAUGUGAAAAUUAUAAUCUUAUAUGGAAUUAGAAUUUUAA